rnacentral:misc_RNA from 1 species
CUGAGGAAAGUGGGAAGCGCAGACAAGAAGCGCUUCUUUGGUACACACACACAUACAUAGGGCGCGCGGGCUAUUCAAAGACUGCAUCUGCGUAACACUUCGAAACGGCAAGACGUAGCGCUGAGAGAUGAUGGCUGCCCACUGCAGCGCAGUACCCAUAUACAAUCGAAGACUGACGCGUCUUUAUACACUGACUGGUAGCACCCGCAACAAUGACCGUGUCUCCAUCUGCUGCGGCUACUGCUGCACCGACCAUCUUUAUUCGCUGUGCCACACUGCACAGCCGUGGCGAGCUUCUGAACGGCUUCUUCUUCGCGCACCGCGCCACACUCGGCAUUCAGGACUGGUACGAGACUGCACGUACGCCUGCCAGCGGCGGCACAGGAAAUGAGGAAGAAAAGCUCAGCAGUGCCGAGGAUAGUGCCGCUGCCGGUGACACCCCUCACACUGCCUUGUCGCCGCGGCUACCGCCCCACUUUCCAGUAGAGGUACUGUAUGUGCGCAACUCUCGCAAACCGUACUUUCUUGUUGAAUGGCGCUACCCCACAUCGGAGGAGGAGGGCAAGCGAAAGGACCCGAGUGACGGCAGCAGCGGCGUCAAGGAGGGGGUGACCGAGGUACACGAGGCGCGAGCCGGCUCUUCUCAGAACCGCGUCACCGAGGAGUUUCUGCGGCAGCUUGCAGAGCGCACCCUUGCCUUGGGGAAGCAGGAGCUGUCCGAUGAUGGCGCGACGUGGAAGGGGCAGCCAGUGUUCAUCAGCGCUGCAUUACCUGGGAUGACUGUGGUGGCUGAACGGCGAAAGCUGGAGCUGCGUGAUGCACAACUAAAGAUUCAGCGAGCCACAGAGAAGCGAGAGCGGGCGGAGGAUGACUCUGCAGCACAGACUGCGAAAACGAAGCAGAGAGACUCUGGCGUCGUCGCCUCUGCUUUCAUUCCUCGCUGCGUGCGGCGACGAACGUGAGGUGUACGUGCCGGUUUCUUCUGUUCUGUUUAUUUUUUGUUGUUGCUCCUAUGUGGGGCUGGAAGG